rnacentral:lncRNA from 1 species
AAGCCUAUCAAUCUUAAUCAACUAAAAUCUUUUAUAAAUAGAAUAUAAUAAAAUAUUUAAUUUUAUUAUUCAUCAAGUAAUUAAACCAAAAUUGGUUCAAAGCAUUUAAAUCUAAAAUUAAUUAUCAAAUUCAUAUCUCAAAAUUCAUCAAUAGUUCAUUUCAUAUCUAUAAUCAUCUUAUAAAUUAUGAUUUGGCUGCAAAAUUUCCAAGCUCGCUGGCAUAGACUCUCAAGCCUGGAUCAUCCUUCGUUCCUAACCUUAUUCAUCUGAACAGAAAAGGAAAAAAAAAAGAUAUGAGUUACCCC